rnacentral:rRNA from 1 species
AUUGAACGCUGGCGGCAGGCCUAACACAUGCAAGUCGAGCGGAGCGGCGGACGGGAGAGUAAGGACUAGGAAUCUGCCUGGUAGUGGGGGAUAACGUAAGGAAACGGGAGCUAAUACCGCAUACUAUCAGCUGCGCCGUGGUCGGAUUAGCUAGUUGUGGGGGUAAAGGCCUACCAAGUCGACGAUCCGUAACUGGUCUGAGCGGAUGAUCGGUCAAACUGGAACGAGGCCACGGUCCAGACUCCUACGGGAGACAGCAGUGGGGAAUAUUGGACAAGGGGGGAAAGCCGGAUCACGCCAUGCCGCGUGUGUGAGGAAGGUCUUCGGAUUUUAAGGCACUUUAAGUGGGGAGACGUUACCAACAGAAUAAGCACCGGCUAACUUCGUGCCAGCCGCCGCGGUAAUAC